AAAAGCUUGGAACGCAAUCACAAGAACUUGCAGAAGUUCAGAUUGAGAAUGAGAAACCAGAAACAAAUUUAAUUGCUAACUGUACUACAAAUAGCAGUUCAGUAUCAGACGUAGAUACUUCGGUUACAUUUGAUGAAAAUAUAAGAUACGAUACUGAAAAGGCCAAACGUCUUGAAGAAUGGAAAAGUAUAUCUCCAGAAAUUAUGUCUGCUUAUGUACAAAUGCAGACACCCAAUAAGCGACAAUGUGCUGAUUGUUGUCUCUCCACAGAUGAACUGUACAGGUGUUGUGAUUGCUGUUCAUGGGAGACUACGUGCCUCACAUGCUUGCGGUUGAGGCAUAAACAUCCUCAUCUGCAUUUGGAAGAACAUGGCUUACCUUUCUUUCAUUGAUGAUGAUGAGGCUUGGAAAUUGAAUGACCAUUCCUGUAGCACUACUUACCUGAAAAAACUUGUGGUCGUGGAUGAUAAAGGUCGACAGCAUUUGAAGACCCUGCAAUUUUGCAAGUGUGAAGUUGAAGCUGUACGCUUGAUUAGGUUCAACCUGUGGCCAUCUUCAACCAAAUUUCCAAACGUGGCAUUUCACUUUGACUUCAUGCGCUGGUUAUGUGGUCUUCUUCUUGAAAGCUCGGUGUCAUUUAAAAGUUUCUGCUCCGCAUUAGACGCGUGGACAUCAAAGCACAUGAAGACAUAUAUUCAUCACCCUGUCAAAGAUUUGUACAAAGUGCUUGUAGGAGGAACAGCCGAUGAAUUUCGACAUUUUAUCUACCAAAUGGAAAACAUCCACGAUGAUGGAUCCAAAUGUCCAGCUUGUUAUGAGGAUUCUCCCUCCCUGAUAAGCUUGCUAGAGCAGAGGAUAUAGAAAAAAAAGCAAGGAGGCUCUUCAAGAAAUUUUGGAACCUUUUGCAGGAGUAACAACUGAAUGUCUACAGGAAUGGAUAGAUUAUGAGCGGGUUGAGUGUAUCCGCAGCAAAUCAACUGAAAAUCACUCCUUGUCACCUGCUGAAGAGUAUUGUCUAGUCCUGUAGGAGCUAACAAAAUACAGGGGUGUGUUUGCGACGGAUGUAAACAAAGAUAAGAAAAGGCUAGAGACAAAACUGAAAAAGAAAGGGAAGAAGGCUGGUGUCAAAUGGGACUCAACAAAUGUUGAUUACCUGCGGACACUCAAGACUGCACAAGAGAAACUAAGACUUCAGAUACUGGAGACCCUUCAACAGACCACUGCAGAGAGGCUGUUUUUGUUAGAUUUAAUGAAAAAGUAUGCAAGAGGACAAGCUGUAGCCAUAAGAUUGGGCAAGCAACAAAAAGAUAAGAGAACAGCUGUCGUUGUACAAUGCGGUUGGCGGGGAAGUCGUUAAAAUGCCGACACAUUUGUCAUUUGAAGAUGUAAAGUCGUGCGACAGCAAGCUGUGGGACAUUUUGAAGUCAUCAGAUGUAGGUGCUUGGAGGACCAGUGUGCCUGUGUCUGUAAAACAGCAAGCUGUUCGCCUGUUUUGCAUGACACAGAGAGCUGCAGAAGAAAAGGAACUUUUGAUUUCAGAAAUGAAGUCAACAUUACAUUUCUUUUCCAAUGAACAUUCAGGUCUUUUAAACAAGGUCCUGGAUAAUGUUAAAGGAGACAUGCCAGUCAUCAUCAAAGAAGGGCUUUAUGUGGAAAUGAAAUUUAAUUCAUUACUGAAGGCAUUCCAGUCAUAUCUCCCAGACUUAACACUGACUUUGCUUUCUGAUUUUGCACAAAAGGUUGGUCUAACCAGCGUUCAAGAGGCUCGUAUUUCUGAAAUAAAUUAUGGAAACUUACCAGAAUACGAGUUAGAACCCUCUGAACCAACUGAUGUAAUACUCAGUGAUGAGGAUUUUACAGACAGUGAUAGUGACAAUGACUCUGAUGGUGACAAUUAAAUGUUUAAAAGACAUCAUUGACUCAAAAGCAAUAUUGUCUUAAUUGUCUCAAUUGAAUUGUUCGCAAUAAGUGUUCUAAGAUAAGACAAACAACUGUGCUAUGGCUUUUUAAAUGCUCUUGUUUGUAGCUCAACUGGUAGCUCAACUGAGCACAAUGUGAGCUUUUGUGAUCGCCUUUUGUCCGUCGUUGGUUGUAUAACACAAAAGCUCACAUUGUGCUCAGUUGAGCAAAAUCAGAAAGCAAAGUCAGGGUUUACUCUGGGAGAUCUGGGAGAUAUGACUGGAAUGCCUUCAGUAGUGAAUUACUUGAAUCACUUUCCAGCCAUAUCAGUAAAAAGGUGAUUGGCAUUUAUUUCGUAUUUAAAUUCGCUUUAUAUAUCGACUUUUCUCCCCGCAAAUUUUGUUAGUGGAGCCCAAAUUAGGUCAUCCCGCUAGGAAAUUUCGCAGCGAGUAAAGUCGAGAUAUAUAUAGAGCGAAUAUAACUAUGAAAUAAACGCCAGUAUCUUUCUUGCUAAUAUGGCUGGAAAGUGAGCGGAAUUUAAAAACUUAUGCUUUGUAAGCACACUUAUCGGCCACAUUUAUUGUCUGAUCUUUUUCAUCUUGUUAACUCAAUAUUUAUUGUCCACUACCGGUGAAACAGGGGGGGGGACUUAUUGUUUGCGCUCCGUGUGUCAGUCUGUCUGCGUGUGUCAGUCUGUCUGUCAGUCCGUCACACUUUUCUGGAUCCUGCGAUAACUUCAAAGUUCUUCAUAUUUUUUUAUGAAACUUGAAACGUGGACAGA